rnacentral:rRNA from 1 species
UACGUAGGGUGCGAGCGUUGUCCGGAAUUAUUGGGCGUAAAGAGCUUGUAGGCGGUUUGUCGCGUCUGCCGUGAAAAUCCGGGGCUCAACCCCGGACUUGCGGUGGGUACGGGCAGACUAGAGUGUGGUAGGGGAGACUGGAACUCCUGGUGUAGCGGUGAAAUGCGCAGAUAUCAGGAGGAACACCGGUGGCGAAGGCGGGUCUCUGGGCCGAUACUGACGCUGAGGAGCGAAAGCGUGGGGAGCAAACAGG